rnacentral:ncRNA from 1 species
AGAUAACCAGAUCAGAAAGGGAACUGCAGAACCCAGAAUGAAAAAGUUACUUAGGAAGAGAACAGAAAGGUGAAAGUUCUAGAAAGCUUAGCUAGCAAUAAAGCGAACUAGACCACCGAGGAUAAAAGAGAUCUUAUCCAAGGAUGCAGAAGGUAAUCUCACUUUUGACACCUACUGAUCUCGAUUGAAAAAAA